rnacentral:rRNA from 1 species
UACGUAGGGAGCGAGCGUUGUCCGGAUUCAUUGGGCGUAAAGAGCUCGUAGGCGGCUUGAUUAGUCGGAUGUGAAACCUCCAGGCUCAACCUGGAGUCGCCAUCCGAUACUGUCAUGGCUAGAGUCCGGUAGGGGCCCACGGAAUUCCUGGUGUAGCGGUGAAAUGCGCAGAUAUCAGGAGGAACACCGGUGGCGAAGGCGGGUCUCUGGGCCGUAACUGACGCUGAGGAGCGAAAGCAUGGGGAGCGAACAGG